rnacentral:rRNA from 1 species
CAGCCGCCGCGGUAAUACGUAGGGGGCAAGCGUUAUCCGGAUUUACUGGGCGUAAAGAGUGUGUAGGCGGUGCUAUAAGUUCGGUGUGAAAUCUCCCGGCUCAACUGGGAGGGUGCGCCGAAAACUGUAGUGCUCGAACGUGGGAGAGGAAAGCGGAAUUCCUGGUGUAGCGGUGAAAUGCGUAGAUAUCAGGAGGAACACCUGCGGUGUAGACGGCUUUCUGGACCAUUGUUGACGCUGAGACACGAAAGCGUGGGUAGCAAACAGGAUUAGAUACCCCUGUAGUCCCUGUCUCUUAUAC